AAACCAACAUCCAAAUAAGCCCAUCACCCCUAGGGUUCACCUAUAAAUACUUCGACAGCCCUCAAGACCCAAAAUCUCUGCCCUCUUUACCAGCAGCCUAGCAGAAAAAUUAGGGUUUUACAGAGAAGGAAGGCUAUCAUCACCCGAUCACCAUGAGAGCUAAGUGGAAGAAGAAGCGUAUGAGGAGGUUGAAGAGGAAGCGCCGAAAGAUGAGGCAGAGAUCCAAGUAGGCGAACCAAUGAACGGUCCUCAUCAGUUUCGUUUUCUCCGUUUAGAGUCGUUUUUUUUGUUAUAAGUCAGUACCGUUUGGUCGAAGUUUUAUCUUGUUUAAUGUUCUGAUACAUUUUGUUUAGAUUCAGUUUGGAGAAUCUUCACACUUGGAUUAUGCUACUGUGUUUUGGUUAUUAAGAUUUCUUUAUGUUGAUGAA